AAUUGCUAUUCUCGAUUCAGACAAGACACUGAUUUGUUUACGAAACGCUCUUGAUUUUGUAGGAUAUCUCAUUUGUCAAAAAAGCCGUUCCUUCUUUUUAAAGACGAAGAAUUUAUUUAUAUAUUCGAUAAUGGCAAAAAUGUGGAGCUGUAUCAAUGAUUCUCAAUGGAAGAUCGGGGCUUUUUUUACCAAUUCUUAUGCUAAUCCUAAGAAAUUCCGUUCAAGAAACAAUAAAAUCUAUUUUGGGUUGAACCGACAACCUGAUUGUGUGGUUAUUCUUCAUCCAGAUAGAAAGUCAUCGGUCAUACUGGAAGCUGAUCGAUCACAAAUACCGAUUGCAUACUUAGUGGAUUCCACGAUCCCGUCCCAUAAAAGAUUCACUUUUACCAUCCCAGCGAAUGAUCCUUUACGGCUGCUCGUAUAUCUAUUUCGUAAUUCGAUCACGAAAACUGUGAGGCAAAAAAGAACAGCAAUCAACGGGCCGAGAGCGGGAGCACGAGGAGCGAGUACCCUUCUGGGUAUUCGCACCUACUCUGCCGCCUCUCCUAAGUGGAAGAAGAAGUUUUUUCGCUUCAAAAAUUGGAUUGUCAUGAAUCGUAAAUUUUUUUUGAUGCUUCUGCUUCCUGCCUCGUGUUGGUUGCAAUGGUAUUUUUGCUUUUUUGAUCUCGCGGAACUCUUUCUGGCGCUCCGGAAGGCUCUCAUUGGCGCACUCGUAAUGUGGCUCAGUUUUCUAUUCCAGCUCCUAUGGGAGCAGAGUGCUACUCUGGGGAUGACCCAAGGAGAAAGUUGGGGUUCUUCCGAUAAACUGCCUUCAAAGGUGGGGGGGCAAAAACCGCUUCUAAUGGAAGCGGGGGAGGGAUCCACCCAAGAGGGGCGCAAAGGAAAGGCUCCUUUAGAUUUUGAAUUCGAAAUGGAGGUUCGGUCCGCCCCAGAUUUUAUAGAUCCGCCACUCAGCCCUACGGAGGGCGAACGGUUGAGCCCAACCACUGGCCCUUCGCCAGAAGGGGGUGAUCAUCCCCAUGACAACACGCCACCGGUGGCGGUGGAACCGGCCCCACUUCCUGAGACAAAUCCGACUCGGGGGGAGGGUUCCUUAAAAAGGCAUCCACAUCCAUAUGUAGAGGAUAUGGAUCAAAAGUUGGAGGAUUGCCGAAAAAAACGAAAAAGCCCAAGAGUGGGGGGAUCUUAUUUCAGGAAUAGAAACCAAGGAGAAAAAGCGAGGCAUUGAGUCUCAAAUUAUAGAGGAAAACCACCGUUUUUAUAGUAUGUGUUGUGACAUUUUAGGCAAAGAAUGCCUUGAUGAUUUUACAAAAAGAAUCUGAUCGCGAGGAUAACAAGCGGGAAAAGCUUUUUUCCACUAUUUUGCGAAGCCAAGGAAAGGAGCAUUCUCUUGAAAACCUUUUGCAACUAAGGGAGGAUUUGAGGGACCCGGCGGCCUGUGAGGCACUCCGCCCCAUUUUUCGG
rnacentral:misc_RNA from 1 species